UACGUAGGGGGCAAGCGUUGUCCGGAAUCAUUGGGCGUAAAGAGCGUGUAGGCGGUCCGGUAAGUCGGUUGUGAAAGUCCAGGGCUCAACCCUGGGAUGCCGACCGAUACUGUCGGACUAGAGUUCGGAAGAGGCGAGUGGAAUUCCCGGUGUAGCGGUGAAAUGCGCGGAUAUCGGGAGGAACACCUAUGGCGAAGGCAGCUCGCUGGGACGUUACUGACGCUGAGACGCGAAAGCGUGGGGAGCAAACAGG
rnacentral:rRNA from 1 species